rnacentral:rRNA from 1 species
UACGUAGGGUGCAAGCGUUGUCCGGAAUUAUUGGGCGUAAAGAGCUCGUAGGCGGUUUGUUGCGUCGGCUGUGAAAUCCCGAGGCUCAACCUCGGGUCUGCAGUCGAUACGAGCAAACUAGAGUGUUGCAGGGGAGACUGGAAUUCCUGGUGUAGCGGUGAAAUGCGCAGAUAUCAGGAGGAACACCCGGUGGGCGAAGGCGGGUCUCUGGGCAACAACUGACGCUGGAGGAGCGGAAA